CUCCGCCUCCUGCAAUCGGUGUGGACGGCAGCGCCAUUUUCAGAGCUAUAAGUGUGAAGUGGUCAUAGCUCUUUAAAUGGUACUGCCGUGUGCACUCAACAGACCAGC
rnacentral:miRNA from 1 species